AUGCCCGUAACUCAAUUGGAGAGAGUGUUAGACUACGGAUCUAAAAGUUGUGAGUUCGAAUCUUGCCGGGCAUG
rnacentral:tRNA from 1 species